rnacentral:SRP_RNA from 1 species
CCAGCAGGGACCCGGCGACCCUGCAAGAGGCCGCCGGGAUCGGCACCAUUCC